rnacentral:lncRNA from 1 species
UUUGUUUGGCUCUGUGUCUCUUAUUCCAUUUCAGAACAGCUGGUACGUGUGCACAUGCAAAUAGGAACCACACGAAGGCAGGGGCUUUAAAUGAAAACAUGGACCAUAUUCUGUGCUGAGACUUUGAUGCUGUGUUUCUAUUUUGUUUUCUCAUCAGUUCACGGUGGGGCUCAUAAUCCGGUAACCAAGGUCCCCAGAUAUCAUCUCCAGUGCCUGUAAUGCUGUCAUACAACUCUCAGAAUGCCAGAUACAAUAAAGAUCAUCACCAAUAUCCCAAGAUUGAAGGAGAUCACUACUGCCAUGCCUCCAAGAACUGAGAAGAUCCAGAGUCGUUUAUGCCAUGAACAGAAAUCUAUUCUGUGGAGAAUGGGUUAUCAUUCCCUUUCUCUUAUGGCAAUUAGUCAGGUUCGGAUUUCCAUGUCCAUCCAUAGCAAGGAACUCUCCUUGAAGAGAAUCUGGAACUGAAUGCUGUUUCUCUUGAAGAUGGAAGGAAGAACAAGAUCCCUCUUCUCCCAAACUCUCAAAAACUCCACACAGGAGUACAGCAUUGAAUAAUCAAUCUUCAGCAAUGAGGAGAAUCUUAUAUACUUGGGCUGGGAACUAUGGAUCACAUUAAAAAUUUGGAGAAUUGUUUUAUAUGAUUGUCAUUGGUUUGCAAUUUAUCUGAGAACUUUCUUUUAUAUUAUUUAACUACACAUUUAUUAAGGAGGCUCAUAUCUUUAAUACUAUAAGAAAAUCAAGGGAAUUGAGGGGAUUAGGACAGUAAGCGGUCAAUUAUGGAAAUUGUGAUUCAGUUUUGGAGUUCUCUCCCUAUUCAAUUAUGGGCGUCGUCCAAAUUUUGUCCUGUAAGAAAACUUUAUUCAAUUGUGGGAACUGGCAAAAAACCUUAUUGCAUUAUUUUAACUUAGCCCUGUGAGGCUAGGGAAAAUGGACCAUUAUGGGACCUAGGCUAUAUUGGCCAGAACUGUAAUCACAUCCUAAGACUGAUGUAAGUCAUGUUCUUACAAUUGUACAUCUUAAGCAGCCCAUGUGUCUCAUCUGAAAACUGGUCCCAUACUGAUGUUCUUUUGUUUGUUUACAGAUACUUGGGGAGGAGUGGAAUACCUCUUUUCCUGAUUUCAGGGAAUUGUACCUGUUCACUCUUUCCCUCCCAACUUGGAAAGUCCCUAAUUUUUCAUGCAAUUAGAAAUCAGAUUACUAAAUGUAUUAUUUGAAUUAAUUGGCCUUUUAAAAUUGUUUUAAUAUAUAAAAAGUCUGUCUACCCCUGUUUUCAGGGUCCAGCCAUAAACUGAAGA